GAUGAACGCUGACAGAACGCUUAACACAUGCAAGUCUUUGGCGAAGCUGUGCUUGCACAGCCUAGCCAAGGCGGACGGGUGAGUAACGCGUAAGGAACUUGCCCUGCAGUCAGGGAUAACAGACGGAAACGACUGAUAAGACCUGGUAAAGUCAGGCGGACUCAUGUCCAGCCUGAUGAAAAGAGAUGCUGCAGGAGAGCCUUGCGUCCUAUUAGCUUGUUGGUGGGGUAACGGCCCACCAAGGCGAUGAUAGGUAGCCGGCCUGAGAGGGUGGACGGCCACAAGGGGACUGAGAUACGGCCCUUACUCCUACGGGAGGCAGCAGUGGGGAAUAUUGGACAAUGGGGGCAACCCUGAUCCAGCAAUUCUGUGUGCACGAUGAAGGUUUUCGGAUUGUAAAGUGCUUUCAGCAGGGAAGAAAAAAAUGACGGUACCUGCAGAAGAAGCGACGGCUAAAUACGUG
rnacentral:rRNA from 1 species